rnacentral:sRNA from 1 species
UGCAACAAACUUUUUCUUGCUGUAUAUAAAUAUUCUGCAUAGUAUUAAUAAGCAUAGCUUUCAAGAAAUUGUCACAAAAGGUUUUAUUCUCUUUGCUUGUGACUAUUUUUCAUUGAAGCAUGCGCUUACCUAUGCUGAUUCUUACUAAAAGCAUAGGCUGGGGUAUUUAUUGGCGAAAGGAAAUGUGUAGUGUGGGCUGGACUGUUGGUGGAGGCUGGCUUUUUAGCCCACUUGCUAUACAUGCUGCCAAUGGAUUUAAGACUUGAAAUGUUGAAAGUUGAGUGGAAUUAUUUCCCUCCUAAAACAUUUAUUUACAGUACUCCUCUCUACCCCUAAGGUUGGGCUCUGCCUCAGAGGAGUGAGUUUUUUUUUUUUUUUUCUAUAAAGUUUACAUUGUCUUACUAUUUAUUGAGUGAAUUUCUGGUCAUUGCCUAUGCAAAUAUAAGAAAUCUGGCUUUAAAUAUUAGUCAGUUUCAUGGCUAUGACUAGAUUGUUUUCUUGUAUAACUAAAUACCUGUAUAAAAUGAACUAAUGUUUUCUCUCCCCUCCCUACCCCUUCCCUAUGAACAAUGCUUUAGGUAUAUUGAAAUCUUUAAGAGCAGUAGAGCUGAAGUUAGAACUCACUAUGAUCCACCACGAAAGCUUAUGGCCAUGCAGCGGCCAGGUCCUUAUGACAGACCUGGGGCUGGUAGAGGGUAUAACAGCAUUGGCAGAGGAGCUGGCUUUGAGAGGAUGAGGCGUGGUGCUUAUGGUGGAGGCUAUGGAGGCUAUGAUGAUUACAAUGGCUAUAAUGAUGGCUAUGGAUUUGGGUCAGAUAGAUUUGGAAGAGGUAAGGUAAGAAUUGAAUUUCUCAGUUGAAGGAUGCUUACACUCUUGUCCAUCUAGACCUCAAUUACUGUUUUUCAGGAAUGUCUGAUCACAGAUACGGGGAUGGUGGCUCUACUUUCCAGAGCACAACAGGACACUGUGUACACAUGCGGGGAUUACCUUACAGAGCUACUGAGAAUGACAUUUAUAAUUUUUUUUCACCGCUCAACCCUGUGAGAGUACACAUUGAAAUUGGUCCUGAUGGCAGAGUAACUGGUGAAGCAGAUGUCGAGUUCGCAACUCAUGAAGAUGCUGUGGCAGCUAUGUCAAAAGACAAAGCAAAUAUGCAACACAGAUAUGUAGAACUCUUCUUGAAUUCUACAGCAGGAGCAAGCGGUGGUGCUUACGGUAGCCAAAUGCUAGGAGGCAUGGGUUUGUGUAAAUAUCACUUUAGUGUCUUUUUUUUAAGCUAACCUUGUAUGCCUUUUCUCUCAUUUCAGAACACAGAUAUGUAGAACUCUUCUUGAAUUCUACAGCAGGAGCAAGCGGUGGUGCUUAUGGUAGCCAAAUGAUGGGAGGCAUGGGCUUGUGUAAAUAUCGUUAGUUUUUUUAAAAACCAAAACGUUUAUAUUUGUAUAAGUCAAUUAUAAGUUAAGUUAAUCUAUUUAUUUAAUAAGUUUAGCAUAAGAAACUUAGGCAAAGCAGUUUCUUGAUAUUUGAGUUUUGUAUCUGGCUUACUUAAAUCCUUGUGAGUUAUGAAGUUCCUUAGGAUAGAUAAUUCAAAUUAGAUUUAAGUACUCUUGGGGGAGGGGACUAUGGAGUGAAACUACUUAAAUUUUUUAAGUAUAAAGUUUAAAUCUAAAAUAGCAAAACAGGAUUAAGAUAAAUGUGGGCAUAAUUAGGUGUAUUGACAUGCCUUUGAUGUAUCAAACUGAGGGGGAACCCACUAAAUCCAGUCAAGCAGUUUCAUAAGAUCUUCACAAAAUGCCUCUACUUACGGAAUCAUGUUGAUUUUAGUCCUGCUGAUGUGUGUGCCGUUAGCACUUUGGUUUAUCAGUAUUUGACUGGCUCAAAUGAUGGAUAGAAGGGUGGCCUGGUUAUAGACAGUAGGCAGAAGGAGGCAGAGGGUUACAGUAAUGUAAGAUCAAGACUGGAAAAUGAUAGCUAUAGAAUUACAAGCCCGGUACCACCAGGUACCACAUCACAUAAGAAAAAAGGUUCUAAUGUUUUCUUAACUUAACAGCAAACCAGUCCAGCUACGGGGGCCCAGCCAGCCAGCAGCUGAGUGGGGGUUACGGAGGUGGCUACGGUGGCCAGAGCAGCAUGAGUGGAUACGACCAAGUUUUACAGGAAAACUCCAGUGAUUUUCAAUCAAACAUUGCAUAGGUAACCAAGGAGCAGUGAACAGCAGCUACUACAGUAGUGGAAGCCGUGCAUCUAUGGGCGUGAACGGAAUGGGAGGGAUGUCUAGCAUGUCCAGUAUGAGUGGUGGAUGGGGAAUGUAAUUGAUCGAUCCUUAUCACUGACUCUUGGUCAACCUUUUUUUUUUUUUUUUUAAGAAAAAAACUUCAGUUUAACAGUUUCUGCAAUACAAGCUUGUGAUUUAUGCUUACUCUAAGUGGAAAUCAGGAUUGUUAUGAAGACUUAAGGCCCAGUAUUUUUGAAUACAAUACUCAUCUAGGAUGUAACAGUGAAGCUGAGUAAACUAUAACUGUUAAACUUAAGUUCCAGCUUUUCUCAAGUUAGUUAUAGGAUGUACUUAAGCAGUAAGCGUAUUUAGGUAAAAGCAGUUGAAUUAUGUUAAAUGUUGCCCUUUGCCACGUUACAUUGAACACUGUUUUGGAUGCAUGUUGAAAGACAUGCUUUUAUUUUUUUGUAAAACAAUAUAGGAGCUGUGUCUACUAUUAAAAGUGAAACAUUUUGGCAUGUUUGUUAAUUCUAGUUUGAUUUAAUAACCUGUAAGGCACGUAAGUUUAAGCUUUUUUUUUUUUUUUUAAGUUAAUGGGAAAAAUUUGAGACGCAAUACCAAUACUUAGGAUUUUGGUCUUGGUGUUUGUAUGAAAUUCUGAGGCCUUGAUUUAAAUCUUUCAUUGUAUUGUGAUUUCCUUUUAGGUAUAUUGCGCUAAGUGAAACUUGUCAAAUAAAUCCUCCUUUUAAAAACUGC